ACCUGCUCAUGUUUUGGAGUUAUAAAUAGGUAGGUAGUUCCUCCACUAAGGCCACAUCCACACAUGCAGGGAAAAAGAAUAGCUAGCCGGAGAUGUGAAGAUGGCUACAUGAAGCCAAGGCAGUUCAACGGAAGCACUCUCAUAAGUCCUAUCUCCUGCUUUGGAAAUAUUCAUAAAGCAGGAAUUCUAUAAGCCAAAGCGUUGUGGUGGUGAUGAUGCUGUGUGUUGAUAUCACUUGAUGGAAUCUCGAUUUCAAAUGUGGUUAGUCCAUUCCAUUUAGCCAUGAGUUUCCAAGAUGACCAUUUCACUUCUGACUUUGGUUUGAUUCUGCUUUCACACUUGCUGGUUUGUCUAGCUGUAAUCAAUCCCCUUCCGCAACUCCCAGCUCUUUCUUAACCCCAUUUCUUGUUUCAGAAGAUGCACAAAAAGAUGCAAUACAUUUGUUCAUCCAGUGCCUCCUCAUUUCAUAUCUCAGAGUUAGGGGACAUGCUUAUAUAUGUGACAAAAGCUUCCUUACUGUUGUAAGAGACUGAAUAUUUGAAAUGCUUGGAGCAGUACAGUAUUGAUGAAAACAGCUGCAUGUAGAACGCCUAUUCUAAGCUAAGGACUCCUAAGAAGAUUUAAAACCAGGAAAUUAUACCAUUUUCCCUUCCUUUUGGAUGUGUAAAGUGCAAUAAUUUUAAGUCUAAGUUUUCUCAUACCAUAUACCUGAGCAGGACGUAUGCCAAGAGUUUCACUCCGUACAAGGUGACUCAAAGAAUCUGAGACUAUUUGAUUAGGGAUCCCUGAGCUUUGAACAUUCCCUAAUUUCCACAAUUUUUUUCUUGAAUAAAUGCUUUUUUUUUUACUUUGUAACA
rnacentral:lncRNA from 1 species